rnacentral:lncRNA from 1 species
UCAAUAGUAUACUAACUGAACUUUAUAUAUAUAUAUAUAUAUAUAUAUAUAAUUGAGCUCUUAUACUUUUAAAAGUACCAAGUCAUCGGUACUUGUAAAUUUUUAGUCCUUGGAUUAAGGAAUGUGCGGUUAAGAUGAUGUGGGUCCCCAUAAGGUUAAGUGGGUGGUUGGUUGAAUAAUAUAAUCUAACGGGUGAAAAUGAUCAAAGGCGUAGAUCUAACGGCAAAAAAUUUACAAGCACCAAAUACUUGAUACUUUUACAAGCACUAUAGCCGGACUAUAUAUAUAUAU